AUUGCCCUACGGGACGCAGCAGUGAGGAAUAUUGGUCAAUGGGCGGAAGCCUGAACCAGCCAAGUCGCGUGAGGGAAUAAGGCCCUACGGGUCGUAAACCUCUUUUGCCGGGGAGCAAGGGCCGGGACGCGUCCCGGCCCGGAGAGUACCCGGAGAAAAAGCAUCGGCUAACUCCGUGCCAGCAGCCGCGGUAAUACGGAGGAUGCGAGCGUUAUCCGGAUUUAUUGGGUUUAAAGGGUGCGCAGGCGGGCUUUUAA
rnacentral:rRNA from 1 species